rnacentral:tRNA from 5 species
GCGGGAGUGGUGAAAUUGGCAGACACGCAGGAUUUAGGUUCCUGUGCCUUCGGGCGUGAGGGUUCAAGUCCCUCCUUCCGCA